rnacentral:rRNA from 1 species
GGGUUGUGAGGUUAAGCGACUAAGCGUACACGGUGGAUGCCCUGGCAGUCAGAGGCGAUGAAGGACGUGCUAAUCUGCGAUAAGCGUCGGUAAGGUGAUAUGAACCGUUAUAACCGGCGAUUUCCGAAUGGGGAAACCCAGUGUGAUUCGUCACACUAUCAUUAACUGAAUCCAUAGGUUAAUGAGGCGAACCGGGGGAACUGAAACAUCUAAGUACCCCGAGGAAAAGAAAUCAACCGAGAUUCCCCCAGUAGCGGCGAGCGAACGGGGAGCAGCCCAGAGCCUGAAUCAGUGUGUGUGUUAGUGGAAGCGUCUGGAAAGGCGCGCGAUACAGGGUGACAGCCCCGUACACAAAAAUGCACAUGCUGUGAGCUCGAUGAGUAGGGCGGGACACGUGGUAUCCUGUCUGAAUAUGGGGGGACCAUCCUCCAAGGCUAAAUACUCCUGACUGACCGAUAGUGAACCAGUACCGUGAGGGAAAGGCGAAAAGAACCCCGGCGAGGGGAGUGAAAAAGAACCUGAAACCGUGUACGUACAAGCAGUGGGAGCCUCUUUUAUGGGGUGACUGCGUACCUUUUGUAUAAUGGGUCAGCGACUUAUAUUCUGUAGCAAGGUUAACCGAAUAGGGGAGCCGAAGGGAAACCGAGUCUUAACUGGGCGUUAAGUUGCAGGGUAUAGACCCGAAACCCGGUGAUCUAGCCAUGGGCAGGUUGAAGGUUGGGUAACACUAACUGGAGGACCGAACCGACUAAUGUUGAAAAAUUAGCGGAUGACUUGUGGCUGGGGGUGAAAGGCCAAUCAAACCGGGAGAUAGCUGGUUCUCCCCGAAAGCUAUUUAGGUAGCGCCUCGUGAAUUCAUCUCCGGGGGUAGAGCACUGUUUCGGCAAGGGGGUCAUCCCGACUUACCAACCCGAUGCAAACUGCGAAUACCGGAGAAUGUUAUCACGGGAGACACACGGCGGGUGCUAACGUCCGUCGUGAAGAGGGAAACAACCCAGACCGCCAGCUAAGGUCCCAAAGUCAUGGUUAAGUGGGAAACGAUGUGGGAAGGCCCAGACAGCCAGGAUGUUGGCUUAGAAGCAGCCAUCAUUUAAAGAAAGCGUAAUAGCUCACUGGUCGAGUCGGCCUGCGCGGAAGAUGUAACGGGGCUAAACCAUGCAC